rnacentral:lncRNA from 1 species
GACGUCUCGCGAAGCAGAAUGAGCUCUGCAACGAGAGCGAAUGAAACUAAUAAAGUCAAUGUUUCUAGUCUGGUCCUCCUCUGGUCCUUCUCCUAUUGAACCUGCAACAAAAAAAAACAAAGGGAUACGGAAUAAGAAGAAAAGUGGGCCUAGAAACGAACCUGGAAAAGAAAAAGAAAAGAUUAUUUUAGAUUUGCAAAAAUGCAAUGAGUGAUCCAUGGUAUCUAUAAAAAUUUGGACUAAUCCAUGGUACAUGUAAAAAUAAGGAAGUGCAUUAACAAUGAUUUUUCUCACACCAACAUAAAACUAGGUUGAUCCAUGGUAUCUGUAAAAAAAGAAAAUGCAUUAAAAAUAACUAUCAUACAUGUGGAAUGCUACGAGGAAAACAAUAAACGAAUUAAAAUACUUCGAAUUCUUUCUGAAA